GACGAACGCUGGCGGCGUGCUUGACACAUGCAAGUCGAACGGAAAGGCCCUGCUUUUGUGGGGUGCUCGAGUGGCGAACGGGUGAGUAACACGUGAGUAACCUGCCCUUGACUUUGGGAUAACUUCAGGAAACUGGGGCUAAUACCGGAUAGGAGCUCCUGCUGCAUGGUGGGGGUUGGAAAGUUUCGGCGGUUGGGGAUGGACUCGCGGCUUAUCAGCUUGUUGGUGGGGUAGUGGCUUACCAAGGCUUUGACGGGUAGCCGGCCUGAGAGGGUGACCGGCCACAUUGGGACUGAGAUACGGCCCAGACUCCUACGGGAGGCAGCAGUGGGGAAUAUUGCACAAUGGGCGGAAGCCUGAUGCAGCAACGCCGCGUGCGGGAUGACGGCCUUCGGGUUGUAAACCGCUUUCGCCUGUGACGAAGCGUGAGUGACGGUAAUGGGUAAAGAAGCACCGGCUAACUACGUGCCAGCAGCCGCGGUGAUACGUAGGGUGCGAGCGUUGUCCGGAUUUAUUGGGCGUAAAGGGCUCGUAGGUGGUUGAUCGCGUCGGAAGUGUAAUCUUGGGGCUUAACCCUGAGCGUGCUUUCGAUACGGGUUGACUUGAGGAAGGUAGGGGAGAAUGGAAUUCCUGGUGGAGCGGUGGAAUGCGCAGAUAUCAGGAGGAACACCAGUGGCGAAGGCGGUUCUCUGGGCCUUUCCUGACGCUGAGGAGCGAAAGCGUGGGGAGCGAACAGGCUUAGAUACCCUGGUAGUCCACGCUGUAAACGGUGGGUACUAGGUGUGGGGUCCAUUCCACGGGUUCCGUGCCGUAGCUAACGCUUUAAGUACCCCGCCUGGGGAGUACGGCCGCAAGGCUAAAACUCAAAGGAAUUGACGGGGCCCCGCACAAGCGGCGGAGCAUGCGGAUUAAUUCGAUGCAACGCGUAGAACCUUACCUGGGUUUGACAUGGAUCGGGAGUGCUCAGAGAUGGGUGUGCCUCUUUUGGGGUCGGUUCACAGGUGGUGCAUGCCUGUCGUCAGCUCGUGUCGUGAGAUGUUGGGUUAAGUCCCGCAACGAGCGCAACCCUUGUUCACUGUUGCCAGCACGUUAUGGUGGGGACUCAGUGGAGACCGCCGGGGUCAACUCGGAGGAAGGUGGGGAUGACGUCAAGUCAUCAUGCCCCUUAUGUCCAGGGCUUCACGCAUGCUACAAUGGCUGGUACAGAGAGUGGCGAGCCUGUGAGGGUGAGCGAAUCUCGGAAAGCCGGUCUCAGUUCGGAUUGGGGUCUGCAACUCGACCUCAUGAAGUCGGAGUCGCUAGUAAUCGCAGAUCAGCAACGCUGCGGUGAAUACGUUCCCGGG
rnacentral:rRNA from 1 species